rnacentral:rRNA from 1 species
UACAGAGGUCUCAAGCGUUGUUCGGAUUCAUUGGGCGUAAAGGGUGCGUAGGCGGCGCGGUAAGUCGGGUGUGAAAUCUCGGAGCUUAACUCCGAAACUGCAUUCGAUACUGCCGUGCUUGAGGACUGGAGAGGAGACUGGAAGUUUACGGUGUAGCGGUGAAAUGCGUAGAUAUCUGGAGGAACACCGGUGGCGAAGGCGGGUCUCUGGGCCGAUACUGACGCUGAGGAGCGAAAGCGUGGGGGAGCGAACAGGA